AGUUAACAAGCUAAAGUAAUCAUACGAAGUCGAUGCUAACAGCAGUUAACCCUAUAUCGUCAAAGAUGAACAACUUAAGAUUUACUCUCUUCUUUGGCUUGGUGAUGUUAUUGGUAUUGGACAACCCAACAGAAAGUAUGGUGGCUGGGAUUUCAUCUGGGGUGACAAAAAAAAGAACUGCAUACGCUAACUGUGAGGGCAUGAGAUCAUUCGUGUGCCAAAUGGCGAUGAAAGUUGGUUGUUAUAACAAUCAUAAAAGAGAAGGAACCUUUCAAGAAGACUGAAACAAACCCUGAACAUCGACAACAGAAUCUCAAAGGCAAAGGACAAAAAAAGAAAAUCUGUAUUUGAUAAAAUCUUAGAAUAUAAUUAUUGAUGAAUAAAUAAACUUUGAA